rnacentral:rRNA from 1 species
AAUGAACGCUGGCGGCAUGCCUAACACAUGCAAGUCGAACGAAGGCUUCGGCCUUAGUGGCGCACGGGUGCGUAACGCGUGGGAAUCUGCCCUUGGGUUCGGAAUAAUAGUUAGAAAUGACUGCUCAUACCGCAUGAUGUCGUAAGACCAAAGACUUACCGCCCAAGGAUGAGCCCGCGUAGGAUUAGGGAGUUGGUGGGGUAAAGGCCUGCCAAGGCGACGAUCCUUAGCUGGUCUGUGAGGAUGAUUAGCCACACUGGGACUGAGACACGGCCCAGACUCGGACGGGGGGCAGCAGUGGAGAAUAUUAGGCAAGGGGCGAAAGCCUAAUCCAGCAAUGCCGCGUGUGUGGGGAAUGCCUUAGUGUUGUAAAGCUCUUUUACCCGGGAUGAGAAUGACGGUACCGGGAGAAUAAGCUCCGGCUAACUUCGUG